CAGGCCUAACACAUGCAAGUCGAGGGGUAUAGUAGCAAUACUAGAGACCGGCGCACGGGUGCGUAACGCGUAUGCAACCUACCUUUCACAGAGGGAUAGCCCAGAGAAAUUUGGAUUAAUACCUCAUAGUAUAAUGAUGUGGCAUCACAUUAUUAUUAAAGUUCCAACGGUGAAAGAUGGGCAUGCGUCCCAUUAGCUAGAUGGUAAGGUAACGGCUUACCAUGGCAACGAUGGGUAGGGGUCCUGAGAGGGAGAUCCCCCACACUGGUACUGAGACACGGACCAGACUCCUACGGGAGGCAGCAGUGAGGAAUAUUGGACAAUGGGCGCAAGCCUGAUCCAGCCAUGCCGCGUGCAGGAUGAAGCAUCUAUGGUGUGUAAACUGCUUUUGUACGAGAAGAAACACUGCUUCGUGAAGCAGCUUGACGGUAUCGUAAGAAUAAGGAUCGGCUAACUCCGUGCCAGCAGCCGCGGUAAUACGGAGGAUCCAAGCGUUAUCCGGAAUCAUUGGGUUUAAAGGGUCCGUAGCGGGUCUUAUAAGUCAGUGGUGAAAUCUCCCCGCUCAACGGGGAAACGGCCAUUGAUACUGUAGGACUUGAAUUAUUAGGAAGUAACUAGAAUAUGUAGUGUAGCGGUGAAAUGCUUAGAGAUUACAUGGAAUACCAAUUGCGAAGGCAGGUUACUACUAAUGGAUUGACGCUGAUGGACGAAAGCGUGGGUAGCGACAGGAUUAGAUACCCUGGUAGUCACGGCGUAAACGAUGG
rnacentral:rRNA from 1 species